UUUAGCUUGUAAGCUAACCUGUUCAGAUACAACAUACCAUAUGUAUUUUCACUGUCUCAAACUCAAUUGCGUUGCUGUCACAGCACCAUUAGGUCUCGGUUGUUACCUUACGUUUAUGGAUUAUACUUUAAUGUGCUUAUCUGGUACUGGCCCCGACUCAGUACAUGCUAUCAUGACAGACAGUCAUCUCAACACUAGUGUCUAAUCAGAACUGAAAAACAGUCA